rnacentral:rRNA from 1 species
CCUACGGGAGGCAGCAGUGGGGAAUAUUGCACAAUGGGGGAAACCCUGAUGCAGCGACGCCGCGUGAGUGAAGAAGUAUUUCGGUAUGUAAAGCUCUAUCAGCAGGGAAGAAGAAAGACGGUACCUGAGUAAGAAGCCCCGGCUAACUACGUGCCAGCAGCCGCGGUAAUACGUAGGGGGCAAGCGUUAUCCGGAUUUACUGGGUGUAAAGGGAGCGUAGACGGCAGUGCAAGUCUGGAGUGAAAGGCGGGGGCUCAACCCCCGGACUGCUCUGGAAACUGUACGGCUGGAGUGCAGGAGAGGUAAGUGGAAUUCCUAGUGUAGCGGUGAAAGGCGUAGAUAUUAGGAGGAACACCAGUGGCGAAGGCGGCUUACUGGACUGUAACUGACGUUGAGGCUCGAAAGCGUGGGGAGCAAACAGGAUUAGAUACCCCAGUAGUC